rnacentral:rRNA from 1 species
UCUUUUAAUUGAAGGCUUGUAUGAAUGGUCGGACAAAAAGUGAGCUGUCUACAAUUAUAAAAAUUGAAUCUGACCUUUAAGUGAAAAGGCUUAAAUAUAACAAAGUGACGAUAAGACCCUAUAAAGCUUUAAAGCUUGAAUUUUUUAUUACAAAUUAUUAAAUCAUAUAACUUAAUCUAAAAGGAAGCUUUUUUGUUGGGGCGACAAAAAUAUAAAUAAAUAACUGUUUUUGUUUYAAYAAAACAACGAUAAUUGGACUAAAAAAUGAUCCUUUAUUAAAGAUUAAAAGAUUAAGUUACUUUAGGGAUAACAGCGUAAUCUUCUUUGAGAGUUCAUAUCGACAAGAAGGGUUGCGACCUCGAUGUUGAAUUAAGGUUCCUUUAUGGUGUAGCAGUUAUAACAGGAGGUCUGUUCGACCUUUAAAUCCUUACAUGAUUU